AUUGAACGCUGGCGGCAGGCCUAACACAUGCAAGUCGAGCGGAUGAAGGGAGCUUGCUCCUGGAUUCAGCGGCGGACGGGUGAGUAAUGCCUAGGAAUCUGCCUGGUAUUUGGGGAUAACGUCCGGACACGGGCGCUAAUACCGCAUACGUCCUGAUGGUGAAACUGGUGGAUCUUUGGACCUCACGCUAUCUGAUGAGCCUAGGUCGGAUUAGCUAGUUGGUGUGGUAAAGGCCUACCAAGGCGACGAUCCGUAACUGGUCUGAGAGGCUGAUCAGUCACACUGGAACUGAGACACGGUCCAGACUCCUACGGGAGGCAGCAGUAGGGAAUAUUGGACAAUGGGCGAAAGCCUGAUCCAGCCAUGCCGCGUGUGUGAAGAAGGUCUUCGGAUUGUAAAGCACUUUAAGUUGGGAAGAAGAGCAGUAAGUUAAUACCUUGCUGUUUUGACGUUACCAACAGAAUAAGCACCGGCUAACUUCGUG
rnacentral:rRNA from 1 species